rnacentral:rRNA from 1 species
UACGGAGGGUGCGAGCGUUGUCCGGAAUCACUGGGCGUAAAGGGCGCGUAGGUGGCCGAGCAAGGUUGCGGUGAAAGCCCGGGGCUCAACCCCGGGUCGGCCGUGGCAACUACUCGGCUUGAGCACUGUAGGGGCGGGUGGAAUUCCACGUGUAGCAGUGAAAUGCGUAGAGAUGUGGAGGAACACCGAUGGCGAAGGCAGCCUCCUGGGCUAGUACUGACGCUCAUGCACGAAAGCGUGGGGAGCAAACAGG